AGUUUGAUCCUGGCUCAGGAUGAACGCUGGCGGCGUGCUUAACACAUGCAAGUCGAACGAAGCGAUUUAGCGGAAGUUUUCGGAUGGAAGCUAGAUUGACUGAGUGGCGGACGGGUGAGUAACGCGUGGGUAACCUGCCUCAUACAGGGGGAUAACAGUUAGAAAUGACUGCUAAUACCGCAUAAGCGCACGAGGAUGCAUGUUCUUGUGUGAAAAACUCCGGUGGUAUGAGAUGGACCCGCGUCUGAUUAGCUAGUUGGAGGGGUAACGGCCCACCAAGGCGACGAUCAGUAGCCGACCUGAGAGGGUGACCGGCCACAUUGGGACUGAGACACGGCCCAAACUCCUACGGGAGGCAGCAGUGGGGAAUAUUGCACAAUGGGGGAAACCCUGAUGCAGCAACGCCGCGUGAGUGAAGAAGUAUUUCGGUAUGUAAAGCUCUAUCAGCAGGGAAGAAGAUGACGGUACCUGAGUAAGAAGCCCCGGCUAACUACGUG
rnacentral:rRNA from 1 species